rnacentral:tRNA from 1 species
GGUGUUGUGACUCAGUGGUAAAGUGCUUGCCUAGCAUGCAACAGGCACUGGGUUCGAUCCUCAGCACCA